CUUGACAUGUACGGAACCCUGCAGAGAUGUGGGGGUGCUUGAAAGAGAGCCGUAACACAGGUGCUGCAUGGCUGUCGUCAGCUCGUGUCGUGAGAUGUUGGGUUAAGUCCCGCAACGAGCGCAACCCUUGUCCCUAGUUGCUACGCAAGGGCACUCUAGGGAGACUGCCGGUGACAAACCGGAGGAAGGUGGGGAUGACGUUCUCGGAUUCUAAG
rnacentral:misc_RNA from 1 species